UACGGAGGGUGCAAGCGUUAUCCGGAUUUACUGGGUUUAAAGGGUGCGUAGGCGGGCUGAUAAGUCAGUGGUGAAAGCCCCGAGCUUAACUCGGGAAUUGCCAUUGAUACUGCCAGUCUUGAAUACGGUUGAGGUAGGCGGAAUAUAGCAUGUAGCGGUGAAAUGCUUAGAUAUGCUAUAGAACACCGAUUGCGAAGGCAGCUUACUAAGCCGUUAUUGACGCUGAGGCACGAAAGCGUGGGGAGCAAACAGG
rnacentral:rRNA from 1 species